rnacentral:rRNA from 1 species
UGGGGAAUUUUGGACAAUGGGCGAAAGCCUGAUCCAGCAAUGCCGCGUGUGAAGAAGGCCUUCGGGUUGUAAAGCACUUUUGUCCGGAAAGAAAUCCUUGGCUCUAAUACAGUCGGGGGAUGACGGUACCGGAAGAAUAAGCACCGGCUAACUACGUGCCAGCAGCCGCGGUAAUACGUAGGGUGCAAGCGUUAAUCGGAAUUACUGGGCGUAAAGCGUGCGCAGGCGGUUUGCUAAGACCGAUGUGAAAUCCCCGGGCUCAACCUGGGAACUGCAUUGGUGACUGGCAGGCUAGAGUAUGGCAGAGGGGGGUAGAAUUCCACGUGUAGCAGUGAAAUGCGUAGAGAUGUGGAGGAAUACCGAUGGCGAAGGCAGCCCCCUGGGCCAAUACUGACGCUCAUGCACGAAAGCGUGGGGAGCAAACAGGAUUAGAUACCCUGGGUAGUCCACGCCCUAAACGAUGUCAACUAGUUGUUGGGGAUUCAUUUCCUAGUAACGUAGCUAACGCGUGAAGUUGACCGCCUGGGGAGUACGGUCGCAAGAUU